CGUGUAGGCGGCUCAUCAAGUCUGGUGUGAAAACGCAAGGCUUAACCUUGCGUAUGCGCUGGAAACUGGUGGGCUUGAGUUCCUGAGGGGAAGCUGGAAUUCCAGGUGUAGGGGUGAAAUCUGUAGAUAUCUGGAAGAACACCGGUGGCGAAGGCGAGCUUCUAUCAGAGGACUGACGCUGAGGCGCGAAAGCGUGGGGAGCAAACAGGAUUAGAUACCCUGGUAGUCCACGCUGUAAACGAUGUGCACUAGGCGUGGGGCCCGUACGGGUUCUGUGCCGUAGUUAACGUGUUAAGUGCGCCGCCUGGGGAGUAUGCUCGCAAGGGUGAA
rnacentral:rRNA from 1 species